GCGGAUAUGGCGGAAUUGGUAGACGCGCUAGGUUUAGGUCCUAGUGGGCCCGGCCCGUGGGGGUUCAAGUCCCUCUAUCCGCA
rfam:Anaplasma marginale str. Florida, complete genome.